UCCAUUGACUUCUGCACUGCCAUUUUUGCCAUUUUCAGGGAAAGCCAUGUAAUCACAUGAGAUAGCCACAAACAUGGCAGCUUUAUUUCCAGUAAAAAGAAGCAGAAACGCUAUAGUCCCGAGAGACAACACAUAUCACUUGAUCUCAGCCAAAAGGCCAAGAGGAAAUGGUUAUUACAGAUUUUGUUACAGGGCAGCCCCCAUAUAAAACGGGUUGCCUGGCUGUGGGUCCUCACCCGUGCAUUUAAAGGGGACUUAUUAAUACUCCACUGCAGACACACCCAAAAGCCUCACCAGCUUCAGGCAUUGCUUGUAUUUGGAUCACUAGAUACAGCAAGAACGCAAUCAUUUGCAAAUGAGGAACAGAAUGCAUCUGCAAACUAGGAAGAGAAUGGGAAUGCUUACCACAAUCUGGUCAUACUGAUACCCUAAAUUCAAGUUUCUAUCCAAAACUUCUUGAAAUAAAUGUCUGUUG